AAGGGAGUUGUGAUAUAGCCAGUGGAAAUGGACAAGAAAAGGGGAGUGGAAAAAAACACAGCAAAUUUUAUAAAUGGACAGAGAAAACUGAAAAAGGGGUAGCGAGAAAGGGAGGCGAACAAAAGAAAAUCCGUAACGCCGCUCCCUCACUCCCUUUCUUCUCCACCAAAAGCCCCAUGACCAUUGAAACUUCACAAAAAAGCUUGUAAAUCACCCCUAUUCAACCGCACCUGAAGCCAAUAAACAUCAAUUUUUCCUUCACCAUUAAGCCUAAUCCAUCGCUACUCCAUAAGAGUUUUCAGAUCAUGGAUUGAGCUUGAAGAAGUCGAGAAAUGGUUUGAGGUAUCCGUUCGAUUUUCUGGUCCAGCCCUAUUCCACAGUUUUGCUCGAGUAUUUGUAAAACUCAGGUUCAUUUUGAGAUCCAAUCCUAAACUCCAGCUUCUUUUAUUUCUUUUCUUAUGUGAAUGUUCUGCGUUGGUUUGUUGUCGCAUUUUAUUUGCGAUUAUGUGAUAACUGGCUGUAUUAAUUUCAAAUUUGUUUGAGUUGGUCCUUUGUUUUAAAUCUUUUAUUAUAAGAAAGUAGUUGAAUUGAUGUUCUGUUUUGCAAAUCUAUACCAACUUAGUACUUAGAUGGGUCAUGAGAGCAUUCAGAAUAACUAAUAAAUUGAAGUGUAGUUGGCAUGAGUGGAAGGUGGUACCCCUUAGUACAAUUAAUUAUCACCUUGUACUCCAUGAAUAAGUACGUUCAUCAUCCAAGCAGUAGAUCAUCUUUCUUGACUAUCAAAACAAGCAAACAUGUUUUCUGCCUAUAGUGAUUAAUUAUCCUUAGGUAGAUAAGCUUCACGUUAUUAAUCAGUAGUACCAUAUCCCGCUCAAGACAUGGGUUUCGUGAGGUUAUUUAAUACUAGUAAUUAUUUUGGUCAUGAAUUAGUGAUAUUUGGAAAAUGAAUUGCUUAAAUUUCAUUUGGAAUCGUUAGAGCCUUUUACUCACCGGUUCACCGUGGGGUUUAGCAUGGUUUAGGCAAUUAUUUAGGAUCUCAGGAGUUAAACAAAUAGGCAAUAUUAAGACGUUUUUGCAUUUUUAUUUCGAGGUAAAAGGCUGUUCUCUUUAGUUUAUAUUCAAGGGAAUAUCUUGUAGAGUUUGUAUAUAUUUUUAUCCGGGGUAUACCCCGAAAUACUUGUAUUUGAAGGCGGACGACAGAACACUUUGAGGACGCAUAGAAUAAUAUUUUAUUUUUGUUUUAUUAGGUGGGGACAACCUCGGGCUUCUUUUGUGUGUUCAUUUUGCUACUUGUGUAUUUUUGCCUCAAUUAGAAUAUUCUAUAAAACUAACUAGAUCUAGUACGCAACCGUGAUUUUCACGGGACUUGGGAAGUGCCUAAUACCUUCUCCCCGAGUCAAAUGAAUCUCCUUACCUGAAUCUCUGUUGUAGACUUAAUUUUAGAGUUCGAAGUUUUUUAAAAGGAAAAAUCAUUUUUUUAAAACGGUUUCCUGUCACACCGAAAUCAAUGUCAGGUAGCGACUCUGCGUUAUUUCCUUUUGAACACAAUUUUGUCACUUUCUAAUUGAAAACCCUUUUGAGCUUCAAAAAUCCUUUUGAUAUUUUAAGAGGAGUUAGUGAAGUUGGUUGAAAAAGAGGUGUGACAAUUAUAGGAGGUUCAUGAAGGGUUUUCCUCUAUCGCCUCACCGUUGACCAAGUUAACACAAAAGGUAGCUGAAUUUCAAUGGUCAGAUGCUUGUGAAAGGAACUUUCAAGAGCUAAAGUCAGGGUUGACUACGUCACUUGUGUUAUUCUUGCCGGAAGGUUCAGAUGAGUUUUUUUCUAUAUUGUGAUGCUUCGAGGGUUGGACUUGGGUUUAUAUUAAUGCAACAUGGCUGAGUGGUUACAUAUGCUUCAAGCAAGUUAAGAACCAUGAGAAGAAUUACCCAACUCAUGACUUGGAGCUUGCAUUGGUGGUGUUUGCAUUGAAUAUUUGGUGGCAUUACUUGUAUGGGAUCCAUAUGGUCAUGUUCAUGGACAAUAAGAGUCUUCAAUAUAUCUUCAAGAAGAAGGAGUUGAAGCUGAGCAAAGGAGAUGGCUUGAAUUACUUAAAGACUAGAGCAUCAACAUUCUCUAUCAUUCGGAAAAGGCUAAUAUUGGAGAUGAUACUCUUAAACGAAAAUCCAUGGGUAGUUUGGCCUCCUGAAGGCGCACCAAAGUACGAUGGCCAAGGAAAUUCACCGAUUGGCUAAUUUGGGAGUCCGGCUUGCAAACUAUGGUGAUUAAGGUGAUUGUGUAAAUUGCAAAAUAGAGUUGACUCCUAGUUGGUACUGGAAAGGAAAAAUAGUAUGACGAUCCAUUUUUGGUGCAAUUGAAGGAAGGAAUUCAUAAACACAAGACCAUGGUGUUCUAUCUUGGUAUGAAUGACGGUAUGCUAAAGUACCGAGGUAGAUUAAGUGUCUUGAAUGUAGAUGGCCUCCAAGAGAGAAUAAUGACUAAGGCUCAUAGUUCCAAUUAUUCCGUACACUUAGGAUCUACAAAGAUGUACCACGAACUUAAGAAAAUCUACUUGUGGAAUGGCAUGAUGAAGGAUAUAGAAGACUUUAUGUCUAGAUGCCUAAAUUGCUAGAAAGUGAAGGCCGAGCACCGGAGACCAGUGGUUUGGCACAAAAUAUAGAAAUUCCAAUAUAGAUGUGGGAGACGAUCAACAUGGACUUUGAAGUUGAUCUAACUCACACACCCCGUAAGUUUGACUCAAUGUGGGUGAUUGUGUACCGACUCACAAAGUCAACACACUUCUUGCCUGUUAAGGCCACUAACAUAACAAAAGACUAUGCUCCAUUUUAUAUCAAGGAUAUAGUUAGAUUGCAUGGUGCUCCAGUUUCCAUAAUCUCGUACCGAGGGGCGUAGUUCACCCACUAACUUUUGGUAGAAAUUUCAGCAAGGUUUAGGUAGUCAGGGGAAUCUUAGUACAACCUUCUAUCCUCAGACUGACGGAUAAGGCGAGUGAACUAUAUAGACACUUGAAGACAUGUUGUGUGCAUGUGAUAUUGAACACAAGGGUAGUUGGAAUGAUCAUUUGCCGCUCAUAGAAUUAGCUCAAAUGGAGCCGUUCAAGGCUCUAUAUGGCAAGAGAUGUAGCUCCACAUGUGAUGGGUUGACGUUGGAGAAGCGAAGUUGAUAAGGCCAGACCUUGUGCAUCAAGCUAUAGAGAAGGUCAAGAUCAUCAAGGAGCGGCUGAAAAUUUCUUAGAAUAGCCAAGAGUUCUAUUCAGACAUACGGUGCAGAGAGUUAGAGUCCAAAGAACAUGAUUGGGUGUUCCUAAAAGUUUCUCCCACAAAAGGCAUAAUGCAAUUUGGGAAGAAAGAGAAGUUGAAACCAAGGUACAUUAGACCUUAUAGUAUUCUAGAAAGGAUUGGCCAAGUGGCUUAUAGGCUUGAGUUACAUCCAGAGAUAUCCUUAGUGCAUCGUGUGUUCCACAUCUCUAUGUUGAAGAAAGCAAUAGGGAUCCGUGACUCAUUGUCCCUGUGGAGACUAUUGAAGUUAGUGAAGGUUUGACCUAUGAAGAGGUUCAUAUUACCAUCCUUGAAAGAACAAGUCGUAGAGGCCACCUAGGAAGCAUAGAAAUGAAGAAAAGAUAUCCUCAUUUGUGUGUAGAGCUAGUUGGCCAUGUUUGAUAACUAGGGAUUAUGAUGUAUUUUACACUCCUUCUUGCUUGAGUUUUAAUUAGAAAUUUGUACAAAAUAGUCCCAAAGACUCAUAUGUGCACUUUAUUGCAGGGUUUGAUCAACAAGGUAACAAAAUGUCAAAAAAGUAGCUCAAAAAGAAGUGAAACAUGCACAAGUACCAAAAACAAGGCCAAGCUUAGUCUAACAAGAUCAGUGCAGCCGCACACCAUUUUGUGUGGUCCGCAAAGAGAAGUUUAGAGAGUAGGCAUUUUAGGAAGCCAAGCAAUGCGGCCGCAAAGUAUUUUGUGCUGGCCGCAUUAAUUUCAUUGCGGCCGCAUUCGACUUUAUGCGGUCCGCAGAGCCCAAGAUUAGAGAGUUGCCAAGUUGGAGGAUGAUGCCCAAUGCGGUUCGCGAUCCAUUUUGUGCGGACCGUAAUAGAAGCCAUCGCGGUCGCUGUGCAUUUUGUACGGACCACGAUAGCCAAUCUCAGAGAGCAGAUUAGUCAGCCAAGAACCUUAGUGCGGCUACACUCAAUUUUGUGUGGUCCGCACUAGCUCCGAAGGGGUAUUUUUGUCCAGAAUUUUCAGCCUAGUGUAAAUAGUUUUUUUUUCCAUUGUUAGGUCAUCAAUUGUAUUUGGACAAAGAGUUGUGCUCAUGCAUAUUUUUCUUUUACCAUUUUGAGUAAUUUUAGCUUAUUGUCAUCAUUGAAUCUUCAAGUUUUAUCUAGUAAUUAAUUAUAAUAGGUUUUUCUUCAUCUAUUUCUUUGUUUUCUUCUACAGUCAUGAGUAUCUAGACCCAUUAGCUAGGGUUGUGACUCAACCCUAGUGUAGGUAAUUGAUGGGUCUUGUGUUUUAAUGCUUGAUUGUUUAUGGGUGUUUGAUAUUUGGACUAAUUUAGGGUUUUAAUGUGGAAUUAGUGGUUGCAAACACUAGUUUAUGCCUAGUUGACUUUGGUUGUUCUUGAGAAAGAGAGCCUAAGUCAAUGAAACUGGUCCAACAAGGAAUUGGGGCGUACUCAAAAGAUUGAUAGCCACAAUUAAAGGGUUAAACCUAGAGAUAGUAAUACCCGACUUGAACCUCUAUUGCUUGCACAAAUUAUCGUACCCAAUUAGUUGUGAGAAAGUCAAUUAGGGCAAAAUCACUUGAAGUACCGAGAGGUGUAAAUGAGUAGAAUCGUGCAAUGGUUAUAUCGUAAUCCCCAAAUGUGACAAUCUAGCCUUAGACUCGAGAAUUCGUCAAUUAUCCACCUAGGAGAAAGCCGCUUCGCUAGUGCCUUUUAACCUAAUUAGACAACCUUUAAAGGUUUAGUCUUAGCUUAACUUAGCUCAAUUUCGCAUCAUAGUAGCAUAAACUUAGAAGUAAUAUCAAAACCAAUUACAAGUAAAAGUGCAAUUUGGAACAAUUACGCAACGUAAAUUUAAAUAGAAACUCGACUCCAAUCUCUAGCUCCUAGUGGAAAUCGAUCCCGACCUUCUGGGGUAAAAGUUGUAUUGAUUACUGUUGCUACUUUAUAGUAGUAUAGGGUUGGCCUCGAUAACUUUCUGGCGCCGUUGCCGGAGAGCUAACGUUUUUGUCUAUCUAUCUAAAUAGUUUUGUGUAGUGUUCUUCUUUCCUCUGUGUUACUAAUUUUUGUGUGUCACAACUUUAGGUACCAAAUGGCAGCAAACAAUAAUGACCCUCUUGGAAAUGUGAUUGCAGGGGAGGAGGUAGAUGAUAAUAGAGAGGAUGAGAUGCCUCUUAUGCCUCAAGGACAACGGAGAGGACGCCAGGCCAAUGCCAAAGAUAAUAUUCUAGACCCUCCUCCGGCACCUACAAGAGUGGCUCAAUGAGUGCUUCCAAACCAAGACUAUUCAAGUGCAAUUGUCCCACCCCGGAUCUGGGAGGGCAAUUUUCAAACCACCAAUGUUAUGUUGACAUUUCUAGAGCAUCGUGGGUAUUUCACGAGCGCUGCCAAUCAAAAUGCUUACAAAUAUCUCAAGGUUUCGUGGAUACUUGUUGGGAGAGCAAGCAAACUAAUGUGUCCGAGGAUGGACUUUGGUUGAGACUCUUCUCUUUCUCACUUAGAGGGAAUGCAUUGGAUUGGCUUGAGUGACUUCCCAACCAUUCCAUCCCUACUUGGGAUGAGUUGGAGGAUAAGUUCAAAGAAAAGGUUUUCUCAUGGGGGCACAUGGCAGCAUUGAGGGAUGAGAUCUUGGCUUUCAAACAAUAGCCCACCGAACCAUUACAUGAGAUAUGGGAGCUAUAGAACAAUGGUGAAAGAAUUCCCCAACAAUGAUAUGACUAAGGCGUUGAUCGAAUAGACUUUCUAUAGGGGCAUUAACAUAACAAACCAAUGCAUAGUGAAUCAAUUUGCUGGGGGAAGUUUUAUGAAACUGACUUGUGAUGAGGCUUGUGACAUUCUUGACGAGAUGGCUGACACUUCCUCCGCUUGGCAAAGUAGAGCCAAUGUGCCCCAGGGUGACUCCACAUUCACUUAUUUAUCCAAAGAGUUACAUGAUCAUGAGAAGUUUAUAGUUGAGCUGACAACUACAAUGAUCCAACUAGCAAAGGCACAAUUGCAAAAAGUUCAAAAUCCUUGCCAAGUGAAUGCUAUGGAGGGUGUCAACAUGCUAGUAAACAAAAGAAGACAAAGAGGUCAACAAAAUCGAGGGAGUUCAGAUCAAUUUGACAAUAAUUAUGGUGGACUCCAAGAUGAUGGUUAUGAUGGGCAUAACGAAGAGGUGCAAUAUGUGAAUAAUUAUCAAGGCCAAAGGGGAAAUUCUUCCAACCAAUAUUAAUGGAGACCCUAAGGAAAUUGGGGCAAUCAACAACAACAAGGCAAUGGUAAUUGAGUAAACAACAACCAAAAUUCCAAUUGGGGCAAUCAGAACAAUAAUCAAAAUAAUUAGGGUAAUGGAAUGGAAACAGCAACAACAUGGGUGAUGACAAUAAUCAAGGAGAUUGGAACAAUGGAAAUCAAGGAAACCGGGGGCAAGACUUUCAAAGGCCCCCAAUGUAUUAACAACCGAACAAUCCACCCCCAUUUCCAUCACAAGGGCCUAGUUCUUCCAACAAUGACAUAGGGAGAAUUGAAAUUAUGUUCAAAUAGAUGACGAAAAAGACUGCGGAUUCUAAAGCUCAGUUGUCUUCCUACAAUACUUCAAUUAGGAAUUUGGAGGUUCAAUUGGGCCAGAUCUCCUAAUCCUUGAAUACUCGCCCUAAGGGGGCUCUACCAAGUGAUAGAGUAGUCAACCCGAAGGGUGGGACCAAUCAUAUGAUGGCAGUAACUACAAGGAGUGGACGGGGCGGUGAUGAGAAUGCCUCUAAACAAAAACAAAUUUUGUGUAAUGAAGUUGAGUUGCAAGAAGAUGAAGUUCCUUUGGUGGUUGAAAAUAUGAUUGAUAAGAAUGUGAAUAAAGAAGUGAGGAUUGAUAUUCAAGAUGCCGAGGUGGAAACUCAAAAUAACGUGACCCCGUCUAGGGAACACGUAAUAGGCAUGCCGGAGCCGGUUGUGCCUAAAGCCAAGGCUCCUUUUCCAAGGCCACCUCCACCUUAUCCUCAAAGGCUCACAAAGAAGAAAAUUGAGAAUUAAUUCAAAAAGUUCAGUGACAUAAUGAAGAGCUUAUCAAUUAAUAUGCCUUUGGUGGAUGCUCUUGAACAAAUGCCGGGCUAUGCAAAAUUCAUGAAGGACUUGGUGACAAAGAAAUGGUCCAUGGAUUGUGAAACUAUAAAGAUGACCACCAAGUUAGUGCAAUUAUGCACUCAAUGGACCUGAAGCUAGAAGAUCCUAAUGUUUUCACCAUUCCUUGCACUAUUAGGAGUGCAGACUUUGUUAAAGCUCUAUGUGAUUUGGAUGAAAGUAUCAACUUGAUGCUCUAAUCAAUUUUUAAGACUUUAGAUAUUGGGCAACCGAGGCUGACUUCCAUGAGAUUGUAAAUGGUGGUUAGAACUAUGAAUCCAUUGGGUAUUGUUGAUGAUGUUCUUAUCCGGGUGGAGAAAUUUAUCUUGCUAGCUAAUUUUGUGAUCUUGAAUUGUGAGGUAGAUUAUGAAGUCCUGAUCAUAUUUGGAAGACCUUUCCUUGCUACGGUGAAGGCCUUAGUUGAUGUGGAAGCAGGGGAACUUACCUUCUGCGUGGGUGAUGAAAAAGUGGUCUUUCAUGUGUGCAAGUCAAUGAAGCAGCCCAACAGUUUUGAGGUGUGCUCUUUUGUGGAUCUUGUCACGGCAGUGAUAGUUGAUGAUACUAGUGUAGUGAUCGAUGUGGAGAACCUUCUAGAGGGCAUAUUGUUUAAUGUUGACGACAAUGAUGAUGAGGGCGGAAUGGAGUGUGUGAAUGCUUUACAUAGAAUAGGCUCUUAUUCUUAUGAGCCUAGGAAACUCUCUGGAUCUUGAAAGUAGAAAGACUCCUCCAGCAAAGCCUUCAGUAGAGGAACCUCUGCUGUUGGAGUUGAAGCCAUUUCCUCCACACCUCAGGUAUGAGUUCUUAGGCCCCAGUGCUACUUUGUCAGUUAUUCUUUCUUCUUGUCUUACUAACAUGCAGGUUGAUACCACAUUGGCGGUGCUUCAAAAGCGGAAAAAGAUAAUUGGAUUGACCUUAGCUGAUAUUGGGGGAAUACGCCUCCGCCUUCUGUAUGCAAAAGAUCAUUCUGGAAGAUGAUGCAAAUCCCUCAUUGGAACAUCAGAGGAGGUUGAAUGAAGAAAUGCAAGAAGUUGUGAAAAAGGAGAUGAUCAAGUGGUUGGAUAUCGAGGUUGUGUAACCCAUUUCUGAUAGUUUUUGGAUUUCGCCGGUGUAACGUGUACUGAAGUAGGGUGGCAUGGCCGUGGUUUCAAAUUCGCAAAAUGAGUUGAUUCAUACUAGAACAGUCAUCAAUUGGAGGGUAUGCAUGGACUACCGCAAGUUGGACAAAGUGACCCGCAAUGAUCACUUUCCAUUGCCUUUUCUUGAUCAGAUGUUAGACCGACUUACUGGGCAUGCCUUUUACUUUUUCUUGGAUGGAUACUCUGGAUACAACCAAAUCUUGAUUGCUCCGAAAGAUCAGGAGAGGACCCCAUUCACUUGUUCAUUUGGCACCUUUGCCUUUUCUAGGAUGUCUUUUGGGUUGUAUAAUGCACCUGCUACAUUUCAGCGGUGUAUGAUGGCCAUUUUCACUGAUAUGGUGGAAGAUAUCUUAGAGGUGUUCGUGGGAGACUUCGGUGUUAUGGGUGAUUCAUUUGAUACAUGUUUGAAAAAUAUGGAUAGAGUGUUGGGUCAUUGUGAAGAAACCAAUCUUGUUCUUGAUGGUGGAAAAGGACAUAAUUCUUGGGCAUAAAAUUUCAAAGCAUGAUGUAGAGGUGGAAAAAGCAAAAAUUGAUGUGAUUUCAAGGCUCCCUCCCCCUACCUCUAUCAAGGGAGUUCGUAUUUUUCUUGGGCAUGCAUGGUUCUAGCGGAGAUUUAUCAAAGACUUUUCGAAGGUAGUGAACCCCUUAUGCAAGUUAUUGGAAAGAGAUCCCAAGGUUGUGUUCAGUCAGAGAUGUAUGCAAGCCUUUGAACUUCUAUAUUACAAGUUGACCACCAGUCUUAUCAUUACCACACCUCGUUGGAGCUUUCCCUUUGAGCUCAUGUGUGAUGCGAGCGAUGUUGCAGUCGGGGCGGUUUUGGGUCAAAGAGUGAACAAAAUAUUUCAUCUGGUGUACUAUGCGAGCAAGACAAUGAAUGAUGCUCAAGUGAUCACACGGUGACCGAGAAAAUACUUUUGGUUAUUUUGUUUCCAAUGUAAAAUUUCCGGCCGUAUCAUAUGGGUGCUAAGGUUAUUAUUCAUACCGACCAUGCUACACUCCGGUACUUGAUGAAGAUAAAAAAAAACCAAAGCUAGACUGAUGUGAUGGGUCUACGGUGACUGAGAAAGAACUUUUGGCUAUAGUGUUUGCAAUGGAGAAAUUUCGGUCAUGUCUUAUGGGUGCCAAGGUCAUAGUCUAGAUCAUGCCGCACUCCGAUACUUGAUGACGAAGAAGUAUUCCAAAGCUAGACUAAUGCGAUGGGUCUUGUUACUUCAAGAGUUUGAUUUGGAGAUUGUGGACCGAAAGGGUAGUGAAAACCAAGUGGCAGACCACUUGUCGCACUUGGAGAAGGAGGGGAUACCUCGAGAUGGCCUAUAGAUCAAUGAUUCAUUUCCCGAUGAACAACUCCUUUCGGUAUUGGUGAAUGGUAUUCCAUGGUUUGCGGACGUUGCUAAUUUCCUUGUGAGUAAUAUAAUCCCGUGUGAGCUCUCUUCUAACCAAAGGAAGAAACUCAAACGGGAUAGUUUGUAUUUCUAUUGGUAUGAGCCAUACUUGUUCAAGAUUUGCACGGAUGGUGUGAUCCGAAAAUGUGUCCGGGAGGAAGAGCAAUUGAGUAUCUGGGAGGCUUGUCAUUCCUCUCCCUACGGUGCCUAUCAUGGAAGGGCAAGGACGGCUUCUGAAGUUAUUAGUUGUGGGUUUUAUUGGGCAACUUUGUACAAAGAUUCAAGUGAACUUGUGAAGAGGUAUGACGAAUGUCAAAUAGCAAGGGGAAUUUCGAAGAAAGAUGAGAUGCCUCUCAAUACCAUAGUUGUAGUUGAUAUCUUUGAUGUAUAAGGCAUUGAUUUUAUGGGCCCAUUUGUUAGCUCGUGUGGGAACAUAUACAUCCUUAUGGCGGUUGACUAUGUUUCAAAGUGGGUUGAAGUCGUGGCUCUACCCAACAAUGAGGCUCGGAGUGUUGUUUCAUUUCUUAAGAAGAGAAUUUUUACAAGGUUUGCCACUCUUGAUGCAAUCAUAUGUGAUGGGGGGUCUCAUUUUUUGUACUAGAGCUUUUGAUACUUUGCUUGAGAAGUAUGGUGUCAACCAUAAAGUUUCUACUUCUUAUCAUCCUCAAGCGAGUGGCCAAGUUGAAGUCUUAAACAGGGAAAUCAAUAGCAUAUUGUCAGAGACUAUCAAUGGAAAUAGGCUGGUCAAAGAAGUUGGAUGAUUCUCUAUGGGCUUACAGGACUGCUUACAAGACUCUGAUUGGUAUGUCUCCAUAUUAGUUGGUGUUUGGGAAAGCUUGCCAUCUACCGGUUGAGUUAGAGCACAAGGCCAUGUGGGCCUUGAGGAAGCUAAAUCUUGAAUGGGAUGUGGCAGCAAAUCUUCGUGUGAAGCAGCUUAAUGAACUUGAUGAAUUCUGAUUCCAUGCCUACUCCAGUUCGUCCUUGUACAAGGACAAGAUGAAGUACCUUCAUGAUAAAUAUGCUCGUAGUAAGGAGUUCAAAGUGGGUGAUUUGGUUCUCUUGUUCAGCUCUCAAUUACGUCUAUUUCUGGGAACGCUUAAAAUGGAGUGGACCUUUUGAAGUGGUAUAUUUGACUUCGUUUGGUGCACUUGACUUGAAGAGAAAAAAUGGGGAAGUUUUCAGAGUGAAUGGGCACAGGGUCAAGCACUACUUGGGAGAAAUUGAUGAUAGCCACGUGGUGGCACUUCUUCAUCUCAAAUAAUUUGAUGGUAACAUGCGUCGUGCAGCAACGUUAAUCAGCCGCUUCUUGGGAGGCAACCCAUGUGUUUUUCUUUUUUUUUCUUUGACUUUUAUUAUAGUGUAGGAUUUAUUUUUGGGACUGACUAAUUGUGAGAUGUUGUAGGAUUGUGUUGAUGCAAUGCAAGAAAAAGUUGGAAACUGCUCACUCUCUGAAAUUGGCAAUGCGGACGACACUCAUUUUGUGCGGCCGCAUAGACCUUUGUGCGGGGGCAAGAAAUCAAUUCGGACUGCACUGGUGAUUUGACAAAAGUUGGGAUUCUUUGAUGUUUACCACCGUGACCGCAUUGCAUUUUGUCCGGUCCGCGGAGGUCCACUGCGGUUGCAUUGCAUUUUGUGUAGUCCGUAGUAAUCAAUUGGUCAGUGCUUUAUGGUUUUGAGCACCACGUACUACUGUGUUAUUUUGUGCGGUCUGCGAUGGGUAGGUAUGCUGGGACCCUGGACCUUUUUCUAUAAAUAGGACCUGAGGCCCUACAUUUGAACUUGUCGAUACUUUUCAUCUCAGAAGCAAAAAAAGAUUAUUGUACAUCUAACUAAAUUGCGCGCAAUCAACUGCUAAGGCUCAUUAAGCAUCACUACAUCUUACUUCUAGUACCUUUAAUUCCCUCUCAUUUGUUUAUUUUUAUUAUUUUCUUUGAAUAUUUGUCUUUCUUAAUUUUUCUUCCUUCAUUUACCGUUUUCUUUUAAUUUUGUAACUUAGGUUAGUUAAAUAAUGUUUUAAUUAGGACUAGGUAGUUAAAACACUAAGCCAACGACUAGGGACUCAUUAAUAGGUGUCUAAGUGAACUAAAAUUGAACAAAACAUAAACCCUAGGUUUGUAUUCUUGUUGGGCACUCAAUGGAUUUUUUGUGGUCCGUGGUGCCUUUGUGCGGUCCGCAAUGCUAUUUUGUGCGGACUGCAAUGGAUAAAGUCCUGAAAGCUGACAUUUGAGGAUCGUGAAAGCAUUGGAUUUUGUGUGGUCUGCGGUGCCUCAAUGCGGACUGCAUCGCCUUUUUAUGCGGUCUGCGGUGCAUAUAUUCAGAGAGUGGGUAGUUUGAACCCUACAUUUAUACGGACUGCAAUGGAUUUUUUGCGGUCCGUAACAGCCUCUUUGUGGAUGCACUGCAUUUUGUGCGGUCCACACUCUGCAAUACUUAAAUUGUCUGGAAUAUAUUUUUCCUGCAACUUUGAAUUUCAUUCUUUCUAUUGAGACUAACAAAGCAUGACUGAAUGUUUGAAGACAAUGGUGAAAUCAAGAGGCAAAUGUGGUAAACAAACAGUAAAAGGAGAGUCCUCCCGAGGUGAGAAACAAUGAAUGUUAAGAUUGACCCCAUAAGUCCAACAGAACAUUAAAAACACAAGGAUGAUUCAUCCAGCUAGACCCAGGAUGCAGCCCAGGAGCCAGUCUAGGUCCCAGCAGAGCCACAGACCAUAAGGAGUCAGUCACAGGUUCCCGGGCAUACAAAGGACCAAGGGACCCGAUUCAGGGUCCCAUGCAGACAAACGGCCAAUAUGGAGUCUCUUUUUCCUCUUUCCCUCCAUUUUGUGCUUAUUUUUCUUAGUUGGCAUUGAGGAUAAUGCCAGCUUUCAUUUGAGGAGUUAAGCCUUAUUUGAAUUUGGAUGACUGUACACAUGAAAGAUUUUAUGGUUUUCUUUUUUUUAUCUUUGGUAUGUACAUGAUUCCAGCAUUUUAUUACAUUUUUUGUACUUUCACCUUGGGUCUGUAUAUAAACAAUACGUUCUUAUGCAUGUAUUUAUGCCCCCUAUUGUAUUUUCGAUUAAAUCCCCUCUUGUACGUAUUUAUUUUACAUUUCGCAUUUUUCCUUUCUUAGCUUCUUAUUUUAUAUUCGUCGCUUCUUGUUUUGAGUUUUUACAAUAAGCUUUUGGUUUUCUUAAUGCCAUGGUUCUUUUCAAAGGUUGAAUUUGUGUGAACCGGGUGGCUAUUCCCGAUGAUGGAUAGCAUGACAACCUUCUUAAGGGUUUGAGUCUGUUUUUCUUUUUUCUUCAUAGUAGUUAGUUGGUAAGGGUGCCUUAAGCAAAGCUUCACUUGGUCCUAACACAUUUGCCUUUGAUCCUAUGGUAAAAAAUAAAUCGUGUGUAUAGGAUGGUGAAAGUUGUGACCUUGAGACUCUUGUAUUGUGCCGAUAAUCAUCAAGUGGUUUUUGGGGAUCAUUGUGUGCUCAAAUCUUAUCUAAGGUUGUUGUGGGCCCCCGACUCUGUAUCUUUAGCAAUCCUAUAGCUUGUGUGGUGAGAAUUUGCAUUGCAUGUCCAAGUCUAGAGCCAUUGGUCUAGAACUUGCCCUGAAUGUUUGUAUAGGCGAAAUCCUAAGUGCAAUUUGACUUGAGAGAUGAUUAUAGGCUCUCUUUGAUCCAAAUGAUAUCUUUAACACUUCCAUAGCCUACCAAAGAUAGCAUCUCUAGUCAACCCUUCCGAGCCUUAGACCCAUUUUCCUUUAAGAACCAUGAUACAAGAUUUUACCCGUUCUAAUGAUACCCUCUCUUGGCACCCGAUCUUUCCUUAGCAUAUGGCAAACGUAUAAGUUUAGGGGGAAAGAUGAGAAUUGCAACAAAGUGGUAAAAAGAUACAAAAUAAAGAAAAGGAAAGACAAUGAAAAAGAAAUAAAAGCAAAAAGACAAAAAUAUUGUUUAAUGUAGAAAUAAAUGAAGGGAUUCAAUAAAAACAAAAAAUGAAAAGUGUGGAAAUUUGAGAAAGGAUAAAAGAUUUGAAAUAAACAAGAAAGAGUAACAGUAAGUCUCUCUAAUAAGAAAGGAGAAAAGAUUUGAAAUAAAUAAGAAAGAGUGACAGUAAGUCUCUCUAACCCCUUAGAAAGAAGUCAAAUGACUUAAAAAGUCAAGGCAAUGCAUGCCAAAAUGAAGAAAAAAGAAGUGCUAAAGGGAAGAUCGAACAUAUUUAGACCAAACAUUUCCUACCCUGAACCAAAAGCCUUCACUAUGUCUCCACAAAAGCCCUAUAUGACCUUGAUUUGAAUGAAACUUACAUUAGUGAUGACUCAUAUAUGGGGCAAGCAUAUGGGUACUUAGAGAAAGACUUGUGACUUUUCCUUGAAAUAGAUGAGUGUAUUUCCAUUAACCUCGUUCUGAGUUCCAUUAUCCUAAAGGUGAGGUUUGCUUAAGGAGAGUUGAGGAUGUGUGAGUUUGGAUUCCACAAUGACCAAAGUAAUAGAAAAGAGUUUCUUUGAUGUGUUGAGUCAACUCUUGAUGCUCUUUUGCCGCACUAAAUCCAUGAUGUUCUAAAGAGUGAUGUUGUUAAUGAUUCAUAUGAAUUGAGGGAAAUUGUUAGUCUCAAUUGAUGCUAGAUGAGGUCACUUUAGGUUGGCUGACUUUUCUUGGAUUAACUCUUAAAGGGUGGGUCUUACUUUAUUUGUUUGAGGAUAAUCAAAAGCUUAAGUUUAUGGGAGUUGAUAACUAUGUAUUAUGAUGUAUUUUACACUCCUUGCUUGAGUUUUGAUUAGAAAUGUGUACAAAAUAGUUCCAAAGGCUCACAUGUUGUACUUGAUUGUGGGGUUUGAUCAACAAGGUGAAAGUAAGUAAAACCAGCUCAAAAAGGAGUGAAACAUGCACAAGUACCAAGAACAAGGCCAAGCUCAGUCUAACAGGAUUAGUGCGGCCGCACCAUUUUGUGCGGUCCGCAAAGAUGAAGCUUAGAGAGUAGGAAUUUUAGGAAGCCAAGAAAUGUGAUGGCAAAGUAUUUUGUAUGGAUCGCAUUGAUUUCAUUGUGGCCACACUCGAUUUUGUGCGGUCCGCAGAGCCCAAGAUCAGAGAGUUUAAAAGUUGGAGGAUAAUGCCCAACAUGGUCCACGGUCCAUUUUGUGCGGACCGAAAUAGAAGCCACCUCGGCCGCAAUGCAUUUUGUGCGGUCCGCGACGGCCAACUUCAGAGAGUAGAUUAGUUAGCCAAGAGCCUUAGUGCAGCCAAACUCGCUUUUGUGCCGUCCGCACUAGCCCCGCAGGGGCAUUUUUGUUUUGAAUUUUCAACCCAGUAUAAAUAGGUUUUUUUUCAUUUUUAGGUAAUCAACUGUAUUUGGACGAAGAGCUGCGCUCAUGAAUAGUUCUCUUUUACCAUUUUGAGUAAUUUUAGCUUAGUUUCAUCAUUGAAUCUUAAAGUUUUAUCUAGUAAUUAUUAUUAUGGGUGUUUUUUCAUCUACAUCUUUGUUUGCUUCUAUAGUUAUGAGUAGCUAGACCCAUUAGCUAGGGUUGUCGCUCAACCCUAGAGUGGGUGACUGAUGAGUCUUGUAUUUUAACGCUUAAUUGGCUAUAGGUGUUUGAUAUUUGGAUUAAUUUAGGGUUUUAAUGUGGAAUUGGUGGUUACAUGUCACAACCCCGGUAUGUCCUCCGUGAACCAUCAUGAUGGCACCUAGUUUCAACUUGACCCCUUAUUCUAGAAGUUUUCAAAGAUAGUGACUACAUGUUUCUCAUGCUGAAUUACUUAUACUACUCCCUACCCCUUCCCAGAAUUAACUAAACGGCAUAUUUGCAUUUCAUCUCCCAUUCACUCUAGUCAACUAACCAUGGUUAAUUGGCUCUUGACCUAGAAACUUCUUAAUUGUAACUAGAAUUCAGAUUGACUAAUCCUAGCUAAACAAAUUGAGAUUAAACUCUAAUGAGUUUUACUUGUAUCAAAGAACUAAAAUUAACCCACCUAACAAGACGAACAAUUGAAAUCUAUUAUGCGGAAUAAACGAACACAACUAAAAUAAUACAAAUACGAAGCUGCAUGGGAUCAAAUCAAACCUAUUUGCAUGACUAAUGAAUCUAAACUAUAUGGUAAGAAAAGAAGCACAAAAUUGAAACGAAAUCCUAAACUAACCACAGAGAUCACAAUGGAACGAAAAAUGAGAAUGAAAUCAAAAAUAGAAGCAGAUAUAUAUAAAAAACAAAAUACCUCAAAUUCUGAUUCAGACUGGCGAACUUCUUGGCAUAAUUUGGGGUCCAAUCGGCCUUAGUAAUGUGUUUUCUACUAGAAAACACAAGAUUAAGGGUUAUUAAAACCCCAAAACCAAAGAUACCCCAAACUUUGGCAACUAGGGCUCCGGACCAAAUUUCGAUUUGAAAUUUGAACUAAACGGGAAUGAUUCGAGGAUGAAGGGUCGUGGAUUCAAGGUGAGGGAUGUGAGGAGAGUGCAUGGCAGUAAUUUGGUGGAUUUUGUGAAAGCUGUAUUUUGGUCGGCCGGUUCAAAUUGAAAUUCGAAGAGCUGCGGUAUGAUUUGAGCCCAAAUGAUUAUAGGAAUGAGAAGGGGAGGUCAAGGGGGUGUAGAUGUCUGAAACUGAGGUUAUUUGGUGGUGGCGCCGCCGACGUCCAUAUGUUCGAAGAUUUGAGGAACUGGGCUGUUAUUGGAGAGGUAAUCUCUAUGGGAUUGGGAGGAGGAGAGUAAGGGGGUUCUAGGGUGUAAAUCUGGGAGGCAUUGGCGUUACGCCGCCGCCGGCGGUGAUUUCUGGCUAGCAGCGGGCGGUGGUGUUACGGUGGUUCGAGGGUUGUUGUGGAACUGUACGAGGAAGACCUGUUUUGUCUCUAAAGCUUAUACAUAGCUUUUGGACAUUUUUAUGUAAAUUGCUAGGCUCUACAUGAGCCGUUAGAUCAAGGCCAUGGAUGGCCAAGAUCGACUGCCACCAAACGACGUCGUUUGGGUACGGGGCUGGUUGGACCGGGUUGAGGAACGGGUAGGCUAGAGACUGGGCGUUUGGUUUGGGCUUAGGAGUUAAAUUAAAUUGGCCCAGUUUUCCUCUUCUCUUCAUUUUAUUUAACAAACAAUACCAUUUUCUUUUUCUCUUUCUCAUAUUUUUUUCAAGAUUAAAAUCAAAAUUAAUUCCUCGAGCUAAAUUAACUACUAAAAAAACUUAAUUAAACCUAAAAUGGUAAUUGAGACAAAUGAUUAAAAGCAAAUUAAUAGAAAAAUUAUUUGUAAAUCAAAGCUAACAUUAAAAGUGCAAAUUAACUAUUUUCGAAUUUCCUUUCUCAUCAAAUGAACCAAUUACUAAUUAAUAUUCAAAGUGAAGAUUGAAUCCUAAAUGUAAAUGCCACGUAUCUUUGUGUUUUUUCAUUAAGAUAAAUAUAAAUAAAUGCAAGAAAAUAGAUGAUUAUGCAAUUAAAUUCUAAAAAAUCGCAUAGAGAAAGAAAUUUCUAUUUUUAUGAAUUUAUAGGAGAAAUUUAGGCCAGAAAAAAAUCACAUGCUCAUAGUAUUAAUCGAUAUUCGAUCAAUUAGUCUGAUGCAUUUAUAUAACUUUUGAAAAUCCAUGGCAUGUGAAUGAAAUGAAAGAAUAAAGACGGUAUGUGGCUACUUAUGCCAAGAUUGAGAAUGAUGAUUUCCUCCCAAAAGUGACAAAGGGUUUUAUGAAAUGCUUUACAAAAUAUUUUUGACAGUAUUAUUAUGUAAGAGAAUAGGUAUAGGUUGCAACAACCUAUACCCGAAAGUAAAUGUGUUGGUGUAGGAAGAUAAUUAGGAAUGAGUUCCUUCGUAAUAUAAUGAGCUUGUGCCCCGUAAUUAGUAUGAAUGUAUUUCUAGCUAAGUUACAUCGAUCCACACGGUAUGUAGCCACUUAUGCCAAGAAUGAGAAUGAUGAUGUACUUCCAAAAGCAACAAAGAAAAGAAGGGUUUUAUGAAAUUUUUUAAAAAAUAUUUUUAGAAUAAUUAUUAUGUAAGAGAGUAGGUAUAGGUUACAAGGACCUAAACCCAAAGUACAUGUGUCGGUGUAGGAAGAUGAUUAGGAAUGAGUUCCUUCGUACUAUGAUGCGAUUAUGCCCCGUAAUUGGUAUGGAUGUAUUUCUAGCAAAGUUACAUCGAUCCACACUGGAUUGUUGUGAGACAGAUUAGUCGAUCAAGCUGAUAUUGGAUGCCAUAUCGCACAUACAGUGGUUAUAUAUCCAUAUCGUUAACUGAUGAUCUCCCAACUAAAUUAUUAAUAUAUAUUCGAAGGUUCUCAUGUUACACUUUUUCCUUAAGCUUUAACAUGCCAUUUUCAUUUCUAUUCUAUUUCGGUAUGUUCUCUCUUAUGUGCUAACAUUCCUUUUUGUUGGGGUGAAUCUUUAAUUGAUGUAGGUGGUACCUCAACAUGCGGUACAUAUUCUCAAUAGGAAGUACUCUCUCUUCAGCUGAUUGUGUUAGCCAUACUCUAUCCCAUGACCCUCAUAUUGUAUCCUGAUCAUUUAUAUAUUAUUUUGGGUAUGGUCGGGGUCUAGUCACAAAUACUUUCUUACUUUACUC
rnacentral:lncRNA from 1 species